rnacentral:tRNA from 1 species
GGAGGGGUUCCCGAGUGGUCAAAGGGAGCAGACUGUAAAUCUGCCGGCUUAGCCUUCGAAGGUUCAAAUCCUUCCCCCUCCACCA